rnacentral:lncRNA from 1 species
UAUAUUAAUAUUCAUUAUUACUACUAUUAUUUUAUGCAUUUCUAUUUUGCUCAAAAAUUAUUAAUAGCAAGUCAAACAAAAUACCUUUUACUAUGUAACAUGGAAGGCUCUUCAACUUUUAGAACAAUGAAACUUUUAGAGUUCACAGUUAAUAAGCAAUUUGCAGAUGUACUAAUUUCUGUGCCAGUAAGUAGAAAAUUAAGGAAAUAAACCUUUUUUAUUGUGUCAAAUUGAUCCCUUUAUAUUUACUUCCUAUCUCAGUUAUACCUCUUUUGUGAUUUAGAGAUAUCAAAAUCUCCUAAUAAAUGACAGCAUACAUCAUUUUUGUGUUUUCUUUGUCCAUAAAUAUAUAAGUAAUUGUGAAAUCAUGAAAUUACAGUAAUUAUAAAUGCAAAAGAACUUUCUCCAUAGCAGUCUACCUGAUUAGAAUAAGCCUGGUAUUUGUUUGAUCUUUUGAGUGUGAUUUGAUUUUAGCAAAACACUACCACAUCAAAUUUGUGAGAAAAAAAUUUUUUGUUUCUUUUUUUGGUGUUUAUAUAUAAAUGUAUUUUGGUUUUAUAAUUACAAAAUUUUCAUUUUUAUGUUUAUAUACACUUAUGCAACAUUGUAAUAAAAAGAAUUUCAGUGAACAUUUAGGAAUCAUGAUACUUUUUCUUUUAAAGAGGUCUACAUAUUAUUUGUGUUUGAUAAUUACUAUCACCUACAUCUUUAGCUUUUGUGCCAUUGGCUCUUUGUUUUUGGAUGAAGACCUGCAGCUAUAGAAUCUGUUUCCUACAAGAUUUGAAGUUUCUAUUUUCACUGGCUCAAAGCAUAAUUUAAAUAAUUUUGUUAGUGAUUUAUUUUCAAAGCCUUCUUAAAAUAAAGGAGCUAUUAUGGAGAAAUUCAUUCCUUCUACAUAUACUUAACACUUAUUUUCACAGCUUUGUUUAUUUUCACUAAUUACUUUUCACAGAUAAUCAAUAUGCGUUUCCAAGCCUUUCGGCUAUGUUUGGGUCUUCUGUUCAUCUCAAUUAAUGCAGAAUUUAUGGAUGAUGAUGUUGAGAUGGAAGACUUGGAAGAAAAUUCUAAAGAGAUUGAUGAUAAUGAAGGUGAACUUUCCACAGAGAUAAAAUAUAAGACACCUCAACCUAUAGGAGAAGUAUAUUUUGCAGAAACUUUUGAUAGUGGAAAGUUGGCUGGGUGAGUAUUCAUUUAAGAGAAUGUUUUCUUUGAUUUGUUAGCUUUUUUGAAGUUAUUAGGUUUUGGCCUAUGAAAAUUACCUCUACUACAGAUCUAUAUAAAUUUUAAAAUACUUUAAUUGACAUUGUAAAUCAGUACU